CUGGAAUUAUAUCAGUCAUGUUCAGAAAUGUUUCCGUGUUCUGUUUUGACAUUUUUUUGGAUCAAAGUGAAGCAUUUUGACAUUUCCGAGGCACUUCUUGUGAUGCAGAAACUGUUUUCUGAUUAAAAAGACGUCUCAGUGAGUGCCCACUCACCAGGUGCUGAUGUGAUCUACACCAAUGAGCUGGGAUGUAGUGGAGGGGCUGCCCUUUGGUGCUGGUUGAGCAGAUUUCCCAACAAGGUGGCUCUAAGGUCUUCUUGGGAUUUCUGAUGAAAUUUACAUAAAAGUCAGUUCAGAAGUUGCUUUGGUUCCUCCUCAACAGCUCUUUAUGGGAUGAAGCAGAUCCUACUACUUACUGUGAGGGAUAAUUGAACUUCUUGCCCUCCCCCUUUCCUGGGCAACAGCUUCAAAAGAUCUCUGAUUUUGCUCACCAAUCAAGCAAUCUCAUUUGCAAAACAACUGCAAGGGCCCUGCAAAAGCAGAAGGACAGCUCCUUUGUUAAAUAGUGCCUUUUGGUGACACAAAGGAAUCAUAAAGGUGAUGGAGCUGCAGACUGGACAGCCACGUUUUCUGGACUAUGCAGACUGGCUUCCCUCCCCCUCCCAGCUGUAAUUUCAGACCCCGAGUCUAAGGAUUAUGCAAGGCUCGAGCCCAGUGAGAACAAGGUGCACUGCAACUAUUCUUAGCUCCAGAAAUUAUUCCUGGCUUUGCUUUGAAAUCCGAACCAGGGUUAAUUUCUCUCCCCCUUCCCCCCUGUCUGUUUCCUCUCCCCUUUCAUGUACC